UACGUAGGGGGCAAGCGUUGUCCGGAAUUAUUGGGCGUAAAGCGCGCGCAGGCGGCCUUGUAAGUCUGUCGUUUAAACUCGGAGCUCAACUUCGAGUCGCGAUGGAAACUGCAAAGCUUGAGUGCAGAAGAGGAAAGUGGAAUUCCACGUGUAGCGGUGAAAUGCGUAGAGAUGUGGAGGAACACCAGUGGCGAAGGCGACUUUCUGGUCUGUAACUGACGCUGAGGCGCGAAAGCGUGGGGAGCAAACAGG
rnacentral:rRNA from 1 species